rnacentral:rRNA from 1 species
UACGGAGGGGGCUAGCGUUGUUCGGAAUUACUGGGCGUAAAGGGCGCGUAGGCGGCGCGAUAAGUUGGGCGUGAAAGGCCCGGGCUCAACCCGGGGACUGCGCUUGAUACUGUCGCGCUGUGAGUCCGGGAGAGGAUGGCGGAAUUCCCAGUGUAGAGGUGAAAUUCGUAGAUAUUGGGAAGAACACCGGUGGCGAAGGCGGGUCUCUGGGCAACAACUGACGCUGAGGAGCGAAAGCGUGGGGAGCGAACAGG